GGCGGCAGGCUUAACACAUGCAAGUCGAACGCCCCGCAAGGGGAGUGGCAGACGGGUGAGUAACACGUGGGAACGUGCCCAAAGGUACGGAACAACUCCGGGAAACUGGAGCUAAUACCGUAUGCGCCCGAAAGGGGAAAGAUUUAUCGCCUUUGGAUCGGCCCGCGUCUGAUUAGCUAGUUGGCGGGGUAAUGGCCCACCAAGGCGACGAUCAGUAGCUGGUCUGAGAGGAUGACCAGCCACACUGGGACUGAGACACGGCCCAGACUCCUACGGGAGGCAGCAGUGGGGAAUAUUGGACAAUGGGCGCAAGCCUGAUCCAGCCAUGCCGCGUGAGUGAUGAAGGCCUUAGGGUUGUAAAGCUCUUUCGCCGAGGACGAUAAUGACGGUACUCGGAUAAGAAGCCCCGGCUAACUUCGUGCCAGCAGCCGCGGUAAUACGAAGGGGGCUAGCGUUGUUCGGAAUUACUGGGCGUAAAGCGUAUGCAGGCGGAUCUCUAAGUCGGGGGUGAAAUCCUGA
rnacentral:rRNA from 1 species